UCGAGGAUCUUCGGCAAUGGGCGCAAGCCUGACCGAGCGACGCCGCGUGUGCGAUGAAGGCCUUCGGGUUGUAAAGCACUGUCGAGGGGGAGAAAACCCGCAAGGCCUGACCGACCCCUGGAGGAAGCACGGGCUAAGUUCGUGCCAGCAGCCGCGGUAAGACGAACCGUGCGAACGUUGUUCGGAAUCACUGGGCUUAAAGGGCGCGUAGGCGGGCUGCUAAGUCAGGGGUGAAAGCCCACGGCUCAACCGUGGAAGUGCCUUUGAUACUGGCGGCCUGGAGGGAGGUAGGGGCGUGCGGAACUUCCGGUGGAGCGGUGAAAUGCGUAGAUAUCGGAAGGAACACCGGUGGCGAAAGCGGCGCGCUGGACCUCUUCUGACGCUGAGGCGCGAAAGCCAGGGGAGCAAACGGGAUUAGAUACCCCCGUAGUCC
rnacentral:rRNA from 1 species